CGACAACUCAGCAACCCGCCCCACCACCUCCACGACAACCGACUGGAUGGGGUAAGAGGUCCCAGUCCUCUCCCCAUGCUUCCCAUCAGCCCAGCUCCUACCCAGGGACACAGAGAUAUCCCACCUCCACAAAACAACCCAACCCAAAAGGAGUGAGAGAGUGCACAGGCACAGGCAGCCCAGAGCCCAGUGAGAGAUAGCUGUGCAGCCGGUAUGCCCAGGUUAGGCUGCUCAACUC